AUCGCUUCUUGGCCUUUUGGCUAAGAUGGAGUGUAGUAUCUGUUCUUAUCAGUUUAAUAUGGGGAUUUAUUAAUCCCCCUUUUUCCCCUCUGCAGCUCUGAACGACCUGAUGGUUCCUUUGUUCUGUUGAUGACCAGAAGGUUCCUCGGUGAAUUUAAUUGUUGAUGACUAAGGGCAGGUUUU